GAUGAACGCUGGCGGCAUGCCUAAUACAUGCAAGUCGAGCGAACAGACGAGGAGCUUGCUCCUCUGACGUUAUCGGCCGACGGGUGAGUAACACUUGUAUAACCUACCUAUAAGACUGGGAUAACUUCGGGAAACCGGAGCUAAUACCGGAUAAUAUAUUGAACCGCAUGGUUCAAUAGUGAAAGACGGUUUUGCUGUCACUUAUCGAUGGCUCCGCGCCGCAUUAGCUAGUUGGUAAGGUAACGGCUUACCAAUGCGACGAUGCGUAGCCGCCCUGAGAGGGUGAUCGGCCACACGGGAACUGAGACACGGUCCAGACUCCUACGGGAGGCAGCAGUCGGGAAUCUUCCGCAAUGGGCGAAAGCCUGACGGUGCAACGCGGCGUGAAUGAUGAAGGUCCCCGGAUCGUAAAACUCUGUUAUUAGGGAAGAACAAAUGUGUAAGUAACUAUGCACGUCUUGACGGUACCUAAUCAGAAAGCCACGGCUAACUACGUG
rnacentral:rRNA from 1 species